rnacentral:rRNA from 1 species
GGAGGGUGCGAGCGUUAUCCGGAAUUACUGGGUUUAAAGGGUGCGUAGGCGGCUAUGUAAGUCAGGAGUGAAAGUUUGCGGCUCAACCGUAAAAUUGCUUUUGAUACUGCAUGGCUGGAAUCAGGAUGAGGUCAGCGGAAUGUGGCAUGUAGCGGUGAAAUGCAUAGAUAUGCCAUAGAACACCAAUUGCGAAGGCAGCUGGCUAGACCUGUAUUGACGCUGAGGCACGAAAGCGUGGGGAGCGAACAGGAUUAGAUACCCUGGUAGUCCACGCCCUAAACGAUGCUUACUCGACGUAUGAAGCUUGUCUUUGUGCGUCCAAGGGAAACCGUUAAGUAAGCCACCUGGGGAGUACGACCGCAAGGUUG